UACGGAGGUGGCAAGCAUUGUUCGGAAUUAUUGGGCGUAAAGGGCGCGUAGGCGGCAAGGCAAGUCAGAUGUGAAAGCCUCGGGCUUAACUUGGGAAUUGCAUCUGAAACUGUUUUGCUUGAGUUCUGGAGGGGGUAGUGGAAUUCCCAGUGUAGCGGUGAAAUGCGUAGAUAUUGGGAGGAACACCUGCGGCGAAGGCGGCUACCUGGACAGUGACUGACGCUGAGGCGCGAAAGCUAGGGGAGCGAACGGG
rnacentral:rRNA from 1 species